rnacentral:rRNA from 1 species
GACGAACGCUGGCGGCGUGCUUAACACAUGCAAGUCGAACGAUGAAAGAGGAGCUUGCUCCUCUGGUUUAGUGGCGAACGGGUGUGUAACACGUGAGCCAUCUGCUCCUCACUCCGGUAUAACUACGGGAAACUGUCGAUAAUACCAGAUAUGCGCACAACAGGCAUCUGUAUCGGUGGGAAAGAAAUUCGGUCAGGGAGGGGCGCGCGGCCUAUCAGCUUGUUGGUGAGGUAACGGCCCACCACGCGGACGACGGGUACCCGGCCUGAGAGGGGGACCGGGCACAUUGGGACUGAGAGACGGCCCAGACUCCCAUGGGGGGCAGAAGUGGGGAAUAUAUCACAAUGGGGGCAAGACUGUUGCAGAGACGCCGCGUGUGGAAUGACGGCGUUUGGGGUGUAAACCCCUUUAAGCAGAGAAGAGGCGAAAAUGACGGUACCUGCAGAAAAAGCGCCGGCUAACUACGUG